rnacentral:sRNA from 1 species
UUUCAAUCUUUUAGAUGUGUUUUGUUAUUUUGUUCUUUUGUCUUUUCUGUGUAUUUUCAAAUAGCCUGUCUUCAAGCUUAGUAAUUCUUUCUACUACUUGAUCACUUCUACUAUUAAGAGACUCUCAUGCAAUCUUCUAUAUGUCAGUUGUGUUUUCAAACUCCAGAAUUUCUGCUUAAUUCUUCUAAUUAUUUCAAUUUCUUUGUUAAAUUUAUCUGAUAGGAUUCUUUAUUCCUUCUCUGUGUUAUCUUGAAUUUCUUUGAGUUUCCUUAAUACAGCUAUUUUGAAUUCUCCAUCUAAAAGGUCACAUAUCUUUGUUUCUCCAGGAUUGGUCCCUUGUGCUUUAUUUAGUUUGUUUGGUGGGCCAUGUUUCCCCGCAUGGUCUUGAUGCUUGUGGAUGUUUUUCAGUGUCUGGGUAUUGAAGAGUUAUUUAUUGUAGUGAUUGCAUUCUGGGCUUGUUUGUAUCCUGUCCUUGGGAAGCCUUUCCUGGUAUUUGAAGGGAUUUGGGUAUCAUCUACAUUUUUGGUCAAUGCAGCCAUAUUUGCAUUAAGGGGUACUGCAAGCCUAGUAACGCUGUGGUUCAUGCAGACUCACAGAGGUACCUCCUUGGUGGUCUUGGAUAAGAUCUGGAAGAGUACUCUGGAUUACCAGGUAUAUUCAUAUUUUAAUGAUCUUCUGGUCAUUUGUUGCUGGAGUUGUCACAUUCUACUGCUCACUAGGACCCGAUUCUCUCUUACCAAAUAUAUUCUUCACAAUAAAAUACAAACCCAAGCAGUUAGGACUUCAGGAAUUAUUUCCUCAAGGUCAUAGCUGUGCUGUUUGUGGUAAAGUGAAAUGUAAACGACAUAGGCCUUCUUUGCUACUUGAAAACUACCAGCCAUGGCUAGACCUGAAAAUUUCUUCCAAGGUUGAUGCAUCUCUCUCAGAGGUUCUUGAAUUAGUGUUGGAAAACUUUGUUUAUCCGUGGUACAGGGAUGUGACAGAUGAUGAAUCCUUUGUUGAUGAACUGAGAAUAACAUUACGGUUUUUUGCUUCUGUCCUAAUAAGAAGGAUUCACAAGGGUUUCACUUUAUUGCCCAGACUGGAGUGCAGUGGUGUGAUCUCAGCUCACUACAACCUCUGCCUUCCAGCCUCAAGCGAUUCUCCUACCUCAGCCUCCCAAGUAGCUGGGAUUACAGGCUUAUAGGUGGAUAUUCCAUCUAUUAUAACCAAGAAACUAUUAAAAGCAGCAAUGAAGCAUAUAGAAGUGAUAGUUAAAGCCAGACAGAAAGUAAAAAACACAGAGUUUUUACAGCAAGCUGCUUUAGAAGAAUAUGGUCCAGAGCUUCAUGUUGCUUUGAGAAGUCGAAGAGAUGAAUUGCACUAUUUAAGGAAACUUACUGAACUGCUUUUUCCUUAUAUUUUGCCUCCUAAAGCAACAGACUGCAGAUCUCUGACCUUACUUAUAAGAGAGAUUCUGUCUGGCUCUGUGUUCCUUCCAUCUUUGGAUUUCCUAGCUGAUCCAGAUACUGUGAAUCAUUUGCUUAUCAUCUUCAUAGAUGACAGUCCACCCGAAAAAGCAACUGAACCGGCUUCUCCUUUGGUUCCAUUCUUGCAGAAAUUUGCAGAACCUAGAAAUAAAAAGCCAUCUGUGCUGAAGUUAGAAUUGAAGCAAAUCAGAGAGCAACAAGAUCUUUUAUUUCGUUUUAUGAACUUUCUGAAACAAGAAGGAGCAGUGCACGUGUUGCAGUUUUGUUUGACUAGGAAUUUAAUGAUAGAAUUUUACGACCAGAAUUAUCAAAUGAUGAAAUGCUGUCUCUUCAUGAAGAGUUGCAGAAGAUUUAUAAAACAUACUGUUUGGAUGAAAGUAUUGACAAAAUUAGAUUUGAUCCCUUCAUCGUAGAAGAGAUUCAAAGAAUUGCUGAAGGCCCAUACAUAGAUGUUGUGAAACUUCAAACUAUGAGGUGUCUUUUUGAAGCAUAUGAACAUGUUCUUUCCCUUUUGGAGAAUGUAUUUACUCCUAUGUUCUGCCAUAGUGAUGAGUAUUUCAGACAACUUUUAAGAGGUGCAGAAUCACCAACACGCAAUUCAAAAUUGAACAGGAACACACAGAAAAGGGGAGAAUCAUUUGGAAUCAGCAGAAUAGGUAGCAAAAUUAAAGGAGUAUUCAAAAGUACCACAAUGGAGGGAGCUAUGUUGCCUAAUUAUGGUGUAGCUGAAGGUGAAGAUGAUUUUAUUGAAGAAGGUAUUGUUGUAAUGGAAGAUGAUUCUCCAGUGGAGGCUGUGAGCACACCUAAUACUCCCCGAAACCUUGCUGCAUGGAAAAUUAGCAUUCCAUAUGUAGACUUUUUUGAGGAUCCCUCCUCUGAAAGGAAGGAGAAAAAAGAAAGAAUCCCUGUGUUUUGUAUUGAUGUUGAAAGAAAUGAUAGAAGAGCAGUUGGACACGAGCCUGAACAUUGGUCUGUCUAUAGAAGAUAUCUUGAAUUCUAUGUACUUGAAUCAAAACUAACAGAAUUUCAUGGUACAUUUCCUGAUGCCCAGCUUCCUUCUAAGAGGAUCAUUGGUCCCAAAAAUUAUGAAUUCUUAAAGUCAAAGAGGGAAGAGUUCCAAGAAUAUCUACAGAAACUUCUGCAGCAUCCAGAACUGAGUAAUAGUCAACUUCUGGCAGACUUUCUUUCCCCUAAUGGUGGGGAAACACAAUUUCUUGAUAAGAUACUACCAGAUGUAAAUCUUGGGAAAAUUAUAAAAUCUGUUCCUGGAAAACUAAUGAAAGAGAAAGGUCAGCAUUUGGAACCUUUUAUCAUGAAUUUCAUUAAUUCUUGUGAAUCUCCAAAGCCUAAACCAAGUAGACCAGAACUGACCAUUCUCAGCCCUACUUCAGAAAACAACAAGAAGCUUUUCAAUGAUCUGUUUAAAAAUAAUGCAAACCGUGCUGAAAAUACAGAGAGAAAGCAAAAUCAGAAUUAUUUUAUGGAGGUGAUGACUGUAGAAGGAGUCUAUGAUUACCUGAUGUAUGUAGGACGGGUCGUUUUCCAGGUUCCUGACUGGCUUCAUCAUCUCUUAAUGGGAACUCGAAUCCUCUUUAAAAACACCCUGGAAAUGUAUACUGAUUACUAUCUUCAGUGUAAACUAGAACAGCUAUUUCAGGAGCACCGUUUGGUCUCACUCAUAACACUUCUCAGAGAUGCUAUAUUCUGUGAAAACACUGAACCUCGCUCUCUCCAAGAUAAGCAAAAAGGAGCAAAACAGACAUUUGAAGAAAUGAUGAAUUACAUUCCAGAUCUGUUAGUCAAGUGUAUUGGUGAAGAAACGAAGUAUGAAAGCAUCAGACUUCUGUUUGAUGGCUUACAACAACCAGUACUCAACAAGCAGCUGACUUAUGUUUUAUUGGACAUUGUGAUACAGGAACUGUUUCCAGAGCUCAAUAAGGUACAAAAGGAAGUUACCUCUGUGACAUCUUGGAUGUAAACACUUGGAUUUGGUAUAGAAUAACCCAUUGAAAUUUCUGCUGUGCUAGGGUGGUAGAAAUUUACUUUUUUGGGUAUAUUCUUAUACAUAUUAUGUACAUCGCUGUCUGAAAUUUUAAUUAUUUUUUGUUUUUAAUAAAGACUAACACAAACUUAAUAAUGAUUAAAAGUG